UACGUAGGGUGCAAGCGUUGUCCGGAAUUAUUGGGCGUAAAGAGCUCGUAGGCGGUCUGUCGCGUCGGUCGUGAAAACUUGGGGCUUAACUCUGAGCUUGCGGUCGAUACGGGCAUCACUGGAGUUCGGCAGGGGAGACUGGAAUUCCUGGUGUAGCGGUGAAAUGCGCAGAUAUCAGGAGGAACACCGGUGGCGAAGGCGGGUCUCUGGGCCGAUACUGACGCUGAGGAGCGAAAGCGUGGGGAGCGAACAGG
rnacentral:rRNA from 1 species